rnacentral:lncRNA from 1 species
UGGGGGCUUGUUUCCUAGGAAGGAGAUGCCCCCACCCCCGGGGGUGGGGAGAAGGCUGUGUUGGGUGGUCCCUCUGAGCAGUCAUUGAACUCUCUAUGUAGUUGAAGAUGCCCUCAAACUCACGAUCCUCCUGCCUCCAUGUCUUAAGUCCUGGAAUGACAGUGGCUACUCUGCACCAGAAAAACACCCUUGUUACCACACGGGAAGCAUCCCGCGGCCUGUAAACCUGCUGUGAGAGUCUCUGCUCCCUUUUCUUUCAUGCACUGUUUCAGGUGGUACGGACAAGAGCUAAAAACCACAUAGGAAAGUGGCCUCGCAGGGCUCUCCAGGACCUACCCACCUUGCUGAGGACCAGCAGCCGCUGCUUCUCUUUCUCAUUGGUGGCCAGGGAGGCGAACUGCUGCAGCUGCAGGGGCGUGGGCGGCGUGGUGAUGUCCAGCAUUUCCACCUUCACCACGUGGUUGGCAGGUGGCGCGUCCUCCAGCCGUUCAAUGAGUGCAUUCACGAGGUCCUCAUGGUUGCCAGGGAAGACACCUAGGUGGUCCCCUGGCUGGUACUGCAACUCCUGAUUCCCAUUGGUGUGGAGACGCACGAAGAUGGUCGAUCGGCUGCAGGAUACAAGGGAGUGGGUGUCGUGGGAAAAAGACCAGCACUCUGUCUCCCCUUUGCCCCUGGUCUGUCUCUCUAGGCUGCAGAGCUCUCCUUCCAUGCUCCCCGGCUCUGGUCUGCUGAGAUGCAUGCCCAGCACUUCCCCCAUAGCUUCUGCCAAACUCCUCCAGUCAGCUCUCCAUCAUGGAACCAACUGCCAGGUCCUGGGCCAGGGACAUCACACUUGUGAUGGCUCACCUCCUUUCUUGGGGCUGGUCCCCAAGUUCUCAUGGCCUCUCUGGUGUUCCCAGCUCAGUCUUCCAUGCUGGUCCCUUCUCAUUUCCCAAGCCCCGAUCCCAGCCACAACCUGCUGAGAUGUAUCCAUCCCCCAUAAUUUUCUGCCUCUUCUCCACUUUCCUCCAUUACAGAAUCCUUUACUUUACUUCUGUGGCUAGUGAUGUAUUCUAGGAUAAUAGGAACACGGUGACGCAGGGCAUUUAUCUACUAUGGCUGUGGCUUUAUCCCCAUUGACAGUGGCUGGCACAUAGUAUGUCCUGAGUCCUUGCUGAAGGAAGGCACUUCAGGGUUCCCAGGUAACUAGUUGCUAGCUGCCAUGUCCUUUGUAUCCAUCAGAGUUCUCCCAGGAACCAGCCACUCACUGUAGCUAUAGGUGGGAUGCCUCUGAUUUAUAAAGCUCUACUUAUCACUUCUCAU